GAAUAAUAUGAGGGGGCUCAGAGAUUGAAAGGGGAUAUUAAAUGACUGGCUUGGCAUGGAUGAGAAUGAGGGUGCUAGAGAGAGUAUUGGAAGUGGGAAGAGUACCACGGUGCUACCUAAUACCAGCGCUGGAAUGAUUCUUCUCCAGCCAUUCCUUCCAUCAGUCUGACCCUCUACUGGGGAUCCAAAAUGGUGGGAGGGAGAACUGAUUGGCUCAGAUGAGAUCACAAAUGUACCCCUUCUGCCGCAACAGAGCAGCAAGAGAGAUCUAUCAUAAAGAGCAACCCAAGUCCUGCCAGCUUCCUGAGCAAGAAGAAAGGGCACCUCAAUCACUGGCCUUCCAAGACGACAAGGAGGAAAAGGUGCUCAGUUGUCCUUGUGGAACCACUGCCUUUGCUAAAAACUAAAUUAUUAUUAAUGUUUCUUUCUGAACAAAAUGUGAGGUGAAAUGCCGUGAGUUGCCCUCUUUGGAUUAUUGAAAUAGGCCACUCUCAGUCAUUUUGAGUAGUUUUGACAGAAAUUGUGGUGAAUUUUCUAUGUUUUUUAAAAAAAUCUCGUUUACAUAGUUCUAUAUGCACAACGUUAACUGUCUAUUCAGUAAAUAUUUAUUGUUCCUAGUAGAUCAAGGUACUCAUCUAGACCCAAGGAAAUUAUCAACAAAUAAAAACAGAUAAGUCCUAGCCCUCACUGGAGCUUACAUUGUAAUGCUAUAAAUUGGACUUAAAUACAUAAUGUUCCUAAGGUGAUAAAAGUACUAAGAAGUAAGACAAAGAGAUACAGAAUGAUAAGGGGUGUUACUGACAUGAGGUUGUGGUAAAAGACUUCUAUGAUAAAUCGAUGUUUGAACAGAGACCUGAAGAAAGUGAAGGAAGAAAAUAAUAAAGGUUUCUGGGAAAAUAAAAAAAGUACAGAGGCCCUGAGACUAUAGCAUACUUGGCAUGUUCCAGACACAGGAAGGAGGCCACUGUGGUCAGAGCUGAGCGAGUGAGGGAAGGAUGGUUGCAGGUAAGCAUGGUUUGAAAGGGGCAGAGAAGCAAGACCACAGAAGGUCUUGGGGCCAUAGUAAGAAUUUUGGGGGUUUACUCUGAGCAAAAUGAGAAAGCUGUAAGGGCUUUAAAUGGAAGAAUGACGUAAUCUUACUUAUAUUUUAAAGGAUCUCUCUGGCUGUUAUGUUGAGAAAAGACCAAAGAAGGACAAAGACUGAAGCAGAGAGAUAAGAUAGGAAACCACCUCAAUGGGGUAAAUGUGGGAAUAACUUAACUUGGAUUAGGAAAGCAGCAGUGAGGAGGGUAAGAAGUUGCCUCACUGGAUGUGGGUGUGAGCAAAAAAGAAAGUCAAAGAUGCCUCCACAGUUUUUGGCCUGGAUGAUAGAAAAUAGAGUUGACAAUAACUGAGAUGGAGAGGCUACAGGUAGAGCAUGUUUAACAAUGAUGGAGAGACAGAGCUCCAUUUUGAACAUGUAAGAAGCCUAUUAGACAUCCAGAUGAAAUCUCAAGUAGGCAAUUGCGCAAAUGUGUCUGAAGUUCAGGAAUAAGGUCACGGCCAGAGGUAAAAAUUUGGAAGUCAGUUUAAGUAAGGAAUUUAUAGCAAUGAGAACAGAUGAGAUCAACUACGGAAUGAAUGCAAGCAGAGAAGACCUGGAAGUUUGAGCCCUCAGGCAUUCAAAUGUUUGGAAUCUGGAAGAUCAUGAGGAACUAGUGAAGGCUCUUGAGAAAGAAAGGAGAAGAUUCAAGACAGAAUGGUAGCCUGGAGUCCAGGUGAAGAAAUUGUUUCAGAAUUAAAGAGAUUGCUUUUGUUGAAUGAUGCUAAUAGAGUAAGAUGAAAACCAAAAUGACUUUGAAUGAUGACAUAAAAGUCAUACUUAAUGUUGACAGACGAGAUUUUAGUGGAUUGCUGGAGAAGAAAAAUUGAUUACAGUGAAAUCAAGGGAGAAGGGGAGGAAGUAGUGGCCUUGAGUAUAAGCAAUUUUUUGAAUGAGUUCUGCUGAAAAGAUGAAUUAAAAAAUGGAGUAUUGCCUCUUACAGGAGAUAGAAAAAGUAGUUUUCUUAAAAAAAUGAGGUAUUUUAGCAUGUGUAUAUGGUGAAGGGAAUUAUCCAGUAGAAAGAGAAUAAUUUAUGACACAAGUGAGAGAAAGGAUGCCUGCGGAAGUGUUGUCUUUGAGUAGCCAAGAGGGGAUGACACUCAGUGUCCCCGUGAAGGGACCGAAUAGUGCAUGUAAAAUUCAUUUUAACAGGAAGGAAGAUGGAGGUAUGCACAUAAAUGUAAGUAGGUUAGUGGAUAUGGUGAUGGCAUAGCAGGGAAAUUUUCUUCUCCAUUUUUUAAGGUGAGCAAAGAUUGAGAAGAAAGGAGAAAUGGUUAAAAGUUCGACGGCACCUAGCACCUGGCAAUUUACGAAGAAGAAUUGAAUUUUGUUCCCAGGUCAAAUUAUAUAGGGUGCAAGAGGACUCAAGCCAUGAAACUAGUAUAUUUUUAUAAACAACUGAAACAAGGUGUUCAUUUUUUUCACUCAUGCAUUCGCCACUCGUUUCUUAACAAACUUUUAUUGAGCAUCUAGAAUGUGGCAACUGUGAUCAACUCUGGGAAAAUUACUACCCGAAUCAGUUUUAGUCACUAUGAUUACAGAGGAGCUUACAGUCGAGUUGGGGAAACAGACAUGGAAGAAAAAAGUAACACUACACUUCCCUUUAUUUGAAUAUGAUACAUAUCUUUCCAGUGACCAUUCUUACUGAAUAUCUUGGGACAUGGCCCACUUCAGAGAUUCUGUCAUGUUCUACUAAUAAGUGCAACCAUAGUCGUAAGGCCUAAUGCUCCCAUUUUUGCUUAAGAAAAUAUGGUCCCCAUCACUAAUACUGAAGCACGUUCAAAGCACUAAGAUAGCAUAGAGUAAGAAGGGAUUCACUCUAGCUAGAGAGUUAGAACGAGAUUUGUUUGAGCAAAAUCUUGAAGGGUGAGUAGAAAAAGCAAACAUAUGCCAUAUACCAGAAAGAAAAUGUGUAAAAUCCUAGAUGUGUGAAUCUGAGAAUAACUUGCUAAUGAAGACAGUCUUUAUUCUUUACAUAAGUGUGAAUUAUUGAGUUUUUAUUUGUUUUUUGGUUUUUAACUAGAAAAAGAAUUCCAUAGUUGGAUUUUGUUUUAGAUAGACCACUUAGGUGGCUGUGCAAAAGGUAGAUGGAAGGAAGAAGAGACUAGUAAAGUGUUGGAUUAACAGUUAAUAGGCUGAUGAGAACCUGCACCAGAACAUGGACAGUGGUGGUGAAAGGAAUGGAUGGAUUAAAGAGACAUGUAUGAAAGGGC
rnacentral:lncRNA from 1 species